rnacentral:rRNA from 1 species
GAUGAACGCUAGCGGCAGGCCUAACACAUGCAAGUCGAGGGAGAAGCCCUUCGGGGCAGAAACCGGCGCACGGGUGCGUAACGCGUAUGCAACCUACCUUUCACAGGGGGGUAGCCCGAAGAAAUUUGGAUUAAUACCCCAUAAUAUUAUUGGAUGGCAUCAUUUGAUAAUUAAAAUUACGAUGGUGAAAGAUGGGCAUGCGUCCUAUUAGCUAGUUGGAGUGGUAACGGCACCCCAAGGCUACGAUAGGUAGGGGUCCUGAGAGGGAGAUCCCCCACACUGGUACUGAGACAGGGACCAGACUCCUACGGGAGGCAGCAGUGAGGAAUAUUGGUCAAUGGUCGGAAGACUGAACCAGCCAUGCCGCGUGCAGGAAGAAUGCCUUAUGGGUUGUAAACUGCUUUUAUAUGGGAAGAAUAAGGCGUA